rnacentral:misc_RNA from 1 species
UGAAGAAGGCGAGCGACUUGUC